GGCUCUUUAUUGUUCCGUUCCUUUAUAUAGAGAAAAUUGCAUUUCAACCUUCUCUCUCUGUUAACACAGUUUUUCAUAGUGUUUCUUCUUUUUUUUCAUCUCUUUCUAGUGAAAAAUAUUUAAAGUUAGAAGUAUAUGAAGUUAGUAGAUAUGCUUCCCUUUUUCUCAACUGCAUCACAGUCAUAGCAGAGGGUGCGCCAUCAUCAAUGGAUCAUAGAUCUCCCGGAAGUUCCUUAUCGUAGGUAUAUAUGUUACUUGUUUUUAUUAAACUUGCAUGCCUUUUAUUCAUAUUAGUACCUUUUGCUCACAUGAGAUUACCACAUCUAUUACAAUGCUCACCAAAGCCACCGUCUAAUGCAUGAUUUCAAGUUUAGAUAAUGUUGGAAUAUUUUAAGAAAUUUUUUGGGUUACUAAAGCAUAUUUCUAUGUAAUGUUGUAUUUGUGGUAGGGUUGAUUGAUGAUUGGUCACUUUGUAUCUUCAAAGGUGAUAUCAUAACUGUUUCAAGCUUUCUUCAGAGUAUGCUAGUGCCUCUUUAAUUAUUAAGUAUAAAAAUCAUUUUUACAUUUUGAAAAUGAGAAUUUUGAUUUAAGUUGUAAAAUGGAAAUGGAA
rnacentral:lncRNA from 1 species